GGUGCUCUGAAUGGGACGCGGCCGGACGCCGUCAGCUGACGCGCCGCCGACAUCUUACCUCCCAAACGGAGGAGACAGAGUCCGAAUUUCACGGUCAGUCACUCCAAUAAAGUGAUGACUGGGUCCGCGGGAACUGGAGGGCGCGGUCGUGGAAAUCGUCGCUACCCACGGAGGAGGAAACCAUCAGCAGCUCCGUGGGAUCCAGACGUUUGUCGCCUCGCUCCAUCGGCUGCCCGGUCGGUUCUGGGCCGGUUCUGGCCCGGUUCUGAACCUCGUCGUGCUUCAGGUUCCCGGCCAGCAGGUGGCGCUGAGCUGCAGCUCUGUGGUUUUUUUAGGUUUUGAUUUUUGUAGCGUUGGAUGAGAAAAUCAAAACCUAAAGAAAAUACAGCGCUGCGUUUGAGAGCAGCGGGAAACCGGACCACCUUCACCGGCGCCGGACCCCGACCCGAGGUUCUGAUCCCAGGACCUUCAGCUUCACUGUGGCGUCGUGGAAAACGUUCAGUUUCUGAUCCGGACCAGGACCGGGUCGGACAGCAGGCUCUGGUCCGCUUGGGUUCUAGCGCCAUUCAUCUCCAGGGUGUUCUAACAUCUGUUUGGAGGAAAAGAUAGACUUCAAGAAUGGACCAGAACCAGAACAGUUACUGCUGAUGGUUCUGGUCGGGACUCUGCUUAGUUUUGACGUUUUUAGGGAGAAUUUACCAGAUUGUGAAAAGGUUAAAAACAAAUCUAAUGGUUUCCUUUCAACCAAUCAGAGGCCACCUUUUCUGUCAGUGUUUUUAUGGUUAGCUGGACCUUCUGGGUUUUAAGGAAUAAAAGUUCUGCUCAGA